AACGCAUAUUGCACUCUCCGUCCUGCGGGGCGGAGAGUAUGCUUGUUUCAGGGUCCGUUGAAAAUUCCAGAAUUUAUUUUCAGGGAGAUGAACUUUUCGCAUCUUUUUUUCGAUGCGAUAGUUUGAAAUUUAACGCGUUUGCAACUGAUAGGAGGACGUGUAAUGGUAGUAAAAUGCUAAUAAAUGUAACCUGUCAGGUGACAUUAAACGUGUUGUUUGAUUAGAUUCGGAGUUUAUUCUCGGGAAUGAUCCAAACAAUAAGUCUACGUAGACCUGAAAUCAAGCAAGAUUACCCGCUGAACUUAA
rnacentral:misc_RNA from 1 species